UCGGGUGGCCGGAUGGCCGCGCGGCGGAAGGGAAAAUCCGUUUGCGAGGAAAGUCCGGGCUUCAUGGAAACAAGAUACCGGAUAACUUCCGGCCGGAGCGAUCCGAGGGAAAGCGCCACAGAAAAUUACCGCCGAAGCAUGUUCUUCGGUAAGGUUGAAAAGGCGAGGUAAGAGCUCACCGCCGUCAUAGCAAUAUGGCGGGCACUAGGCAAGCCCUAUCUGAUGUAAGACCAAAUGAGGUGUAUCGGGAAUUUCCCGACGGGGCGUUUCCACUCCGUCCAAAGGUAGGUCGCACGAGCAAAUCGGCAACGGUUUGCCAAGAUGAAUGGCCAUCGGGGCUAUCUUUGCUUUUGCAAAGCAAUGGCUUUGAACAGAACCCGGCUUACAGGCCACCAGUUUUA
rnacentral:RNase_P_RNA from 1 species